rnacentral:rRNA from 1 species
GACGAACGCUGGCGGCGUGCCUAAUACAUGCAAGUAGAACGCACAGUUUAUACCGUAGCUUGCUACACCAUAGACUGUGAGUUGCGAACGGGUGAGUAACGCGUAGGUAACCUGCCUGGUAGCGGGGGAUAACUAUUGGAAACGAUAGCUAAUACCGCAUAAUAUUAAUUAUUGCAUGAUAAUUAAUUGAAAGGUGCAAUUGCACCACUACCAGAUGGACCUGCGUUGUAUUAGCUAGUAGGUGAGGUAACGGCUCACCUAGGCGACGAUACAUAGCCGACCUGAGAGGGUGAUCGGCCACACUGGUACUGAGACACGGCCCAGACUCCUACGGGAGGCAGCAGUAGGGAAUCUUCGGCAAUGGACGAAAGUCUGACCGAGCAACGCCGCGUGAGUGAAGAAGGUUUUCGGAUCGUAAAGCUCUGUUGUAAGAGAAGAACGGGUGUGAGAGUGGAAAGUUCACACUGUGACGGUAUCUUACCAGAAAGGGACGGCUAACUACGUG